AUUCAACUGACGAGUCCCAAACAGGACGAAACCCUCAUCCUACAU
rfam:Schistosoma mattheei strain Denwood, Zambia genome assembly, scaffold: SMTD_contig0015248